rnacentral:rRNA from 1 species
CCUCCUGCACCCAAAUUUGAUCCUCCUGCACCCCAAGUUUUUCUUCUUCUGCCAGAAUUCAUAUGCUUGUCCCAAAGAUUAAGCCAUGCAUGCCAACUUGAUAAAUUUGCGUUUGGGGGCCGUGGUUUUUAACCAUGCUUUUUAUUAAGGUCAUAGCCCCCUUUCUGCUAAGGAAUCAGCGAACGGCUCCGUAUAUCUGUUGUAACCUAUCGUGGUAAAUUGGGCGUGGAUAUAGCACGGAAAAGCUGUGUGUAACACAGAACACUUGGGUUGGCGGGCCGGCCAGCACUGGGCCGGUCCCGAAAGAGGCAAACCACGGGAGCCUAAAGAGAUGGUGGCCCACCUAAAGUAACAUCUCCAAGUACCGGUUGCCCUACGGGGCCCCCGCGAAACGGAGGCCUCUUCUUCGGGGGAUCUCCAGCCUUUACCUGCGGGGAAGGCGUGCCGGCCCCUUGAUCAGCACAGAGAAGAGACUAACCACGAGCGCACGAUGGGCUUCAGACCUAUCAGCUAGAUGGUAGGGUAUUGGCCUACCAUGGCGAUGACGGGUACAGAGGAUUAGGGUUUGAUCCUGGAGAGGUAGCCUGAGAAAUCGCUCCCACUUCUAAGGAAGGCAGCAGGCGCGUAACGUUCCCAAUGCUGAAAUUCAGUGAGGACGUGACGGGAUAUAACAAUACCCCUUAUUCCGAAGUAAGC